CCCUUAGAUGUCCUGGGCUGCACGCGCGCUACACUGAUGUGUCCAGUAAGCACCUAACCUAUUCCGAGAGGAGCGGGUAACCUUAGCAAAGCACAUCGUGAUGGGGAUAGAUUAUUGCAAUUAUUAGUCUUGAACGAGGAAUUCCCAGUAAGCACAAGUCAUCAGCUUGUGUUGAUUACGUCCCUGCCCUUUGUACACACCGCCCGUCGCUCCUACCGAUUGAAUGUUCCGGUGAGCUCUUCGGACUGCGCGGUCUGCAGUUUCUGCGUUCCGUGCGGAAAGUUGUGCAAACCUUAACAUUUAGAGGAAGGAGAAGUCGUAACA
rnacentral:rRNA from 1 species